rnacentral:rRNA from 1 species
GACAGAGGAUGCAAGCGUUAUCCGGAAUGAUUGGGCGUAAAGCGUCUGUAGGUGGCUUUUCAAGUCCGCCGUCAAAUCCCGGGGCUCAACCUCGGAACUGCCUUUGAUACUGCAAAUCUCGAGUCCGGAAGAGGUGAGUGGAAUUCCUAGUGUAGAGGUGAAAUUCGUAGAUAUUAGGAAGAACACCAGUGGCGAAGGCGGCUCACUGGUCCGGUACUGACGCUGAGGUGCGAAAGCGUGGGGAGCAAACAGG